UGGCGGCUGUAGCGCGGUGGUCCCACCUGACCCCAUGCCGAACUCAGAAGUGAAACGCCGUAGCGCCGAUGGUAGUGUGGGGCCUCCCCAUGCGAGAGUAGGGAACUGCCA
rnacentral:rRNA from 5 species